CAAAAAAGACCGGAGUACUUCAUGAUUCAUGUGAGAUUAAAGCUAAUAGGAAGAAGAUGAAAGUAAGCUGAAUCAGAACUACUAGUUAUUUUUAUCAUAUGCACAUUUAUAUGAUGUAAACUUCUCCCAUAAUUUGGAAAUACCAACAUUAACACUAACACUACUCUGCUCUUCAUUCUUGCCCUAUAACAUUUUCUUACACAUGCUCAUAUAGUUUGGCACAUGUAACUACGAAUUAUUUCAAAAUUUUGUUUAACCUGUCAAUGUUUCCAACAUGUUGUAUCUGCAUGCUUUGAAUUAUUGAAGAAAACAUUGUACCAGACAUUAUGAAAUAUUAAGUGCUCCAUGUUUGUCAAUCUGAGAAGGGACACUUCCAAUGGGAUUUCCUACUGAAAUAGCUUGAUAGAAUAGCAUGGCUCUUAUCAUGACCUCUAUUCCCUGUAUGCUGUUUUAAAUAGAAUGUGUUGCCUGUUUAGGACAAAAUUAUGGAGCUUGGAUCUGUAGUUGAUGAUCUACAUACCCAUAAUAAUUAUAGAACUUGAACAUGGCAGUUAUUGAACUUAUUAAAUGUUUCAACUGCAUCUUAUCCAUGAUCACUGUUAUUUCACCUGAAACACUUGGAUCUGCUGUCAACAUAACCA
rnacentral:lncRNA from 1 species